CCUACGGGGUGCAGCAGUCGAGAAUCAUUCACAAUGGGGGAAACCCUGAUGGUGCGACGCCGCGUGGGGGAAUGAAGGUCUUCGGAUUGUAAACCCCUGUCAUGUGGGAGCAAAUUAAAAAGAUCGUACCACAAGAGGAAGAGACGGCUAACUCUGUGCCAGCAGCCGCGGUAAUACAGAGGUCUCAAGCGUUGUUCGGAAUCACUGGGCGUAAAGCGUGCGUAGGCUGUUUCGUAAGUCGUGUGUGAAAGGCGCGGGCUCAACCCGCGGACGGCACAUGAUACUGCGAGACUAGAGUAAGGGAGUGGGAACCGGAAUUCUCGGUGUAGCAGUGAAAUGCGUAGAUAUCGAGAGGAACACUCGUGGCGAAGGCGGGUUCCUGGACAGUAACUGACGCUGAGGCACGAAGGCCAGGGGAGCGAAAGGGAGUAGAUACCCUUGUAGUC
rnacentral:rRNA from 1 species